rnacentral:rRNA from 1 species
AACACAUGCAAGUCGAGGGGCAGCGGGGAGUAGCAAUACUUCGCCGGCGACCGGCGCACGGGUGAGUAACACGUGUGCAACCAACCCCGUACCGGGAGAUAACCCGCGGAAACGUGGACUAACAUCCCAUGAUACUCGAGAGCCGCAUGGCUCUAGAUUUAAAAUUCCGGUGGUACGGGACGGGCACGCGCGACAUUAGGUAGUUGGCGGGGUAACGGCCCACCAAGCCGACGAUGUCUAGGGGUUCUGAGAGGAAGGUCCCCCACACUGGAACUGAGACACGGUCCAGACUCCUACGGGAGGCAGCAGUGAGGAAUAUUGGUCAAUGGGCGAGAGCCUGAACCAGCCAAGUCGCGUGAGGGAAGAAUGGUCUAUGGCCUGUAAACCUCUUUUGUCAGGGAAGAAUAAGGAUGACGAGUCAUUCGAUGCCAGUACUUGACGAAUAAGCAUCGGCUAACUCCGUGCCAGCAGCCGCGGUAAUACGGGGGAUGCGAGCGUUAUCCGGAUUUAUUGGGUUUAAAGGGCGCGUAGGCGGGACGUCAAGUCAGCGGUAAAAGACUGCAGCUAAACUGUAGCACGCCGUUGAAACUGGCGCCCUGGAGACGAGACGAGGGAGGCGGAACAAGUGAAGUAGCGGUGAAAUGCAUAGAUAUCACUUGGAACCCCGAUAGCGAAGGCAGCUUCCCAGGCUCGUUCUGACGCUGAUGCGCGAGAGCGUGGGUAGCGAACAGGAUUAGAUACCCUGGUAGUCCACGCCGUAAACGAUGCUCACUGGAUCUUGGCGAUACACUGCCAGGGUUCAAGCGAAAGUAUUAAGUGAGCCACCUGGGGAGUACGUCGGCAACGAUGAAACUCAAAGGAAUUGACGGGGGCCCGCACAAGCGGAGGAACAUGUGGUUUAAUUCGAUGAUACGCGAGGAACCUUACCCGGGUUUAAAUGUAGAUUGCAUGAGGUGGAAACACUUCUUCCCUUCGGGGCUAUUUACAAGGUGCUGCAUGGUUGUCG